UUCCUUGAUCGUACAAAAUAAUGGGACAAAAAAAGAUUAAACAUGAAACUUGAAGAAAAGUACAAUAUCAAAAAGAGUUACUAAAAAGCAAAAAAGCUAUAUAAAAAUAGUGGAUAUGACAACUGAAUUAAAAACGGAAUGCUCCAAACUAUCAUUAUAGGAAACACUUGCUGUUCGACAUGAACACGAUGAUAUUUGUGUGGUUUUGGAUUGUUACGUCCAGCUUCAUCUUGAUUAGGUACAAGGAGUUCUUUCUUUUCCUUGAAGAACCAGGACCUAUGCAUAAAGGAUUGUAAGACAACUAAACUCACUCAGAAAGUUAAACCGCAAAAAAAAAACCAAGGUUUAUCAAGGAUGAGUAUACAAAUCCUAUGGACAAAGAGGAAAGCACAAACCGGCAGUAUCAAUGAAGUCUGUAUUUCCACGGGAGACAUUACGAGACAACUGAACAUUGGGACCAUUGUAAUUGAAAUCUUGACCUAAUAUGAGGAUCAAAUAUGAGAAAAACAACAUCUUUCAAGAACAACAAGCUCAAAUAAGUCAAAAAAAUAAAAUAAAAAGGAUAUACCAUUGCUUCUAGGUAUGGAUGAUUCACUAUCAGCAAGAUUAUUCCUUGGGUUUUGACUGGAAGUUGCCUAAGAAUCAUCAAGAUCUCGAUCUGUGACAGUAGCUAGAACAAUGCAAUUUAACCAGUCAAGUAACAUACUCAGCAGUUUUCUCAUCAACAUUUGCACGAAAUCUUGACCUAAUAUGAGAAACGUCUUUCGCCUACAAACACGGAGUAAACAAAUAAAAUCAAAUGUUAAAAAAAUGAUAAACUCUAUAACAUAAAAAGUGUGAUUACAUACCGUGCAGAACAUUGAACUAAAAAUUGCAUAGUGGAAAGAAGAGCAACUAUAAUUACAUAUCAACUGAAAAUUACCAUUCCAGGCAGCAAACCGCCGACAGUGUUGUCGGUGGAACUUCUAAACUUCACAGACUUAUGAGAUGAAUCUAAAUGUUCUUCACAACAACCCAUAUAAUACAUUGUUUCCAAAAUCUUCUUAACAUAACAUGAGAUGGAAACAACAAACUAUAUGAACAAAAUAAACAAAAGAAGGCAACCACUCAAAAAUGAAAAAAAAAACAAAGAACAUAAAACUUUCAGGACACAAACCAUACUCCCUUGGACCUUUGGACUCAACGUUUGCAAACUCUUUAACUAAAGAAUUCUUUCAUGCCUUCACCCUUGGAACACCAGUAGGCACUCGAUGCAAGAAAAGACAAACUUAUCUUUGUGCAUAAAGUUGAUAUAUGAAACAAAAGUACAACGCACAUCUUACAACACUUGGACAUCCCAGAUAGGCCGAGGACGUCCGGCUAGAUGUUGUUAUGCAUUUUUGAUUCAUUUGUCGUAAGGUUUUACAGGUUUGCACGAGCAACGGCCAAGGUUUUGGUUACCGUAUGCGUCAUUUUUAUCCAAGAGGGCGUGGUUACCACGGUUACCGUGAAAUAGAAUAUUUCGGGCGGGCAAACCAACCUAUGAUUCGAUGGUUAGAGGAACAACCCAUCAGGUUUCUAGUCCCGGUGCUUGCGUUAUUUCUGAAUUUAUUUCAGGAUUUUUGGCGAUUUGAUUUUAGUGGGAGGAGACUUCGACGACGUGGCGCCUACAGCGACUUUGUAAAUCUCAAGAUAAUAUGACGACUCAGUCUUUCGAAGGUGCUUAUAAAGAUAGGGUGUGCGUGUGUUUGUUUGAGUAUAUGCGCGUGUAUAUGAACGCAUGCGUCUGUACCAGUGUUCAACAAAAUAAUAUUUCGGGGGAACCUUGGCAAGGGCACAACCUUACGAUCCUUACACGUUUGCACAGGAUACCAACCCUGUAUCAAGUGCAGUCCAGAGCCCAGAAAAGAUGAUGGCGUACCUAACUUACCUUGCAGCCCAAUUCAGUUCUUUAUUCGUCGUCUUUUUCUUUUGCACAAGGCGUCUACUUUGUUCCUUUUGUAUAUAUGAUAUGAUGCCUUCUGAUUACUUCAUCACUCCAUCCACGGAUCAAUCAGAUCGUGAAAACCUUUAGUUAUGGGCCUUGUCCGAUAGACAGACGCUUGAAUUUCCGGCGCCAGUUGCAAGAUCCGGUGAAUCAUGGAGGCGAACAAGACGAGCGGGGGGCGGGGCAGCAUCGUCGAGUGCACGAGCAUGGCCACGUUGGAACGCAACUUGCUGCAGCUGGAGGCGGCGGUCCUGGUGAGCGGGCUCGUCCUCGCCGGGAUGGUGCUGUACAGCAUCACCCGGCGACCCAAGGGCGACAGACUGCUCCGCAGCGUCAUGUGGGUGGCCUACUCGCUGUCCUACGGGGUGGUCGCCUAUGCCAUCGGCCUCGUCCAGGAGAGGGGCCUCUUCCAUGGCGAGACGUUCACUCUAUGGGUCACCGCUCUGCUCCUGAUCCAGGCCAGCGCUUAUGCCACACCCGGGCAGAACCGGCGUGACAUGGACCAGCGGAAGACGUUGCUGCUCCACCACGUCCUCCAGACCGGCCUCGUGCUCUGGCUCGUCGUCAACGACUUUGGCCACAACCCUAGCUACCGGGCGGCCACCUGGGCGUUCUGGAGCCUCAACGUUCUCAAGACGGCCGCCAAGAUCGUUGAGGUGUUCAAGGCGCGUUCCCUCCGACCAUCUGCGGAGGUGGUCGCCGAGUACAUGGACAUCGAGCAGUUCCUCGCCGCCGACCAGCUGCCGCACGAUCCCGCCACCAUGAAGGGGUACAAGUAUCUCUUCCACGGCGAGGAGGCCAUCCAGCGGCAGCUGAGUCACCAACCCCGUUCUUCCCAGGAUGAGAUGCUGAUGACGACGGCGAGCAGCUCGGCGCUUACGAGGACGACGAGCUCGAUACUGACGGCGACGAUCAGCUCCGGCCCCGCCCCCGACAAGGUGAAGGGGGUAGUCACGAUCGAUCAAGUUUACCGGUGGAUCGAUCAACAGGGAUACAGCGACGCCGAGUUGGACAUGGCCAAGGAUAUGUGCCUGGCCUUCUCGCUCUUCAAGCUGCUGAAGAGGCGGUUCUACGGGUACAUCCCAGCGGAAGCCGGCUCGCCCAAGUCGCUGGACCUUGUCCUGACCGGCCUCAUACACCCCGCCGUCACCGGCCCCGACGCCGCCUUCCGGGUCGUCGAGGCGGAGCUCGCCUUCCUCUACGACUUCUUCUACACGAGGAACAUCGUUCUGACGGGAGCCAGAACCCACAUAUUUACUGCCGUCGUUGUGUUAGGCCUGAGCAUGUGGGUGACGUUCUUCGGCACGCUCGGCCCCGGCUACAGCCCUAUGGUCAUCGGCGUAAGAAACCUCGACCGCGUCGUCACUGUGGUGAUCGUCGUGAUCAUCACUGCCCUCGAGCUGUGUCAGGCGGUGGCUCGGUUGUACGACAACUGGAAGUACAUUGAGAGCGUGUACCGUUGCGUACGCGACGGUCGGCCCUGGUCGAGACGUCGGCACCACCUCUCGUGGAAGGAGAGCAUUGCGCCGCCGGAGACAUUGUACUGGGGCUGGGAGCAGAUGACCGGGCAGUAUGUGCUCCUCCAAUGCUACGGCCACCAGCCGUGGAAUGUGCUGUCGUGGCUAACACUCGAGAUCGUGAAACCACUGAGGCGGGGCCAGAAGAGAGGCCGGAGACAGGCUCUGCCUUGGGAUGUCAGGCAAGCCGUCCUCGCCUCGCUCAAGUCCAGCCGCGGCAAGCUCACCAAUGGCGUCGCCGCCAUGGAGAGGCACGGCUUGUCGCAGAACCUGACAUGGGCGUGCGAGUUUCCCAAGGUCACCGACCAGAUCCUGGUGUGGCAUGUGGUCACCACCCGCUUCUACUGGAUUAGCGGUGGUGAUGGUACUGACGACGGUGUGGACGACCACAUAGACAGGCUCGUGGCGAGAAAGCUGUCCAACUACUGUGCGUAUCUGGUGGCCUUCGUACCGGAGAUGCUGCCGGACCCGAGCUACAACGCCGAGAAAAUUUUCGACCUGGCGGUGCAGCAGGCGCGGGACCAGCUCGUCGGAUGCCGGAGCAGGUGGCACAUACUUGCCAAACUAGACGAGAUACAGAGCAACGAGGAGAACUACCUGGAGGUCGGCCUGUACGAGAGAGCCGGCAGCAGCAGCAUCAUAGA
rnacentral:lncRNA from 1 species